CCUACGGGGGGCAGCAGUGAGGAAUAUUGGUCAAUGGGCGCGAGCCUGAACCAGCCAAGUAGCGUGAAGGAUGACUGCCCUACGGUUUGUAAACUUCUUUUAUAAAGGAAUAAAGUGAGGCACGUGUGCCUUUUUGUAUGUACUUUAUGAAUAAGGAUCGGCUAACUCCGUGCCAUCAGCCGCGGUAAUACGGAGGAUUCGAUCGUUAUCCGGAUUUAUUGGGUUUAAAGGGAGCGUAGAUGGGUUGUUAAGUCAGUUGUGAAAGUUUGCGGCUCAACCGUAAAAUUGCAAUUGAGACUGGCAGUCUUGAGGACAGUUGAGGUAGGCGGAAUUCGUGGUGUAGCGGUGAAAUGCUUAGAUAUCACGAAGAACCCCGAUUGCGAAGGCAGCUUACUAAACUGUGACUGACAUUGAUGCGCGAAAGUGUGGGUAUCAAACAGGAUUAGAUACCCGUGUAGUC
rnacentral:rRNA from 1 species